AUGGCCGGUGCUGGCGUGCGUCUCAGCAACCUGAACAAGUUCGUUGAAAACGGGGUUGAAGAGCUUCACAGCUCGGCAGGGCGCUCGGUUCCAUCCCCGAUGCGUUACCGUAAAGCGGGCGUUUCUAUGAGCGCCGACGCCGAGGCCGAUGAGUUUAAUCGCUACUGCGUGGAUGCAGAUGUAGUAGCGGCAAUGAAAAACGCUCUGGCGGCAAACGAGCCGCGCUGAGCAGAAGGUUUCUACCGCGCAUCAUGUCGCCCAAUAUGAUGCUUGCUCGUACCAGGCCCCGGCGGAUUGCGCGGGGCUUUUUUU
rnacentral:ncRNA from 1 species